AAGUGAAACAGUUGGAAGAGAAAUCGAUUUACUGGUUUAAGCAGCAUCACUGACAUGAAUGUAAAACAAUGAAAACACAUUACUGAUCACAGGUUAUCACAAAUCGCUUUGAUGAAUAGUGGUAAAAGUAAUACUUCAGCUAAAAGACAUUGCUUGUUCUUCUGUACACAAGUGUGCAAAACACCCAAGGUGUGCAAGUAAUGGCGCACGUUCAUGCAAGUAUACAUUCAAACUCACAGGUUUGCAUUUAUUCACAUAUCAAUGAAAGAAAAUAUAAGUAUAUGUACAGUGUUUAAGGAAGCUAUUUUGACUGGAGUAGUAUUACUACAGAAAACAUUAAUGUUUUGCUCUAGUGUUAAUUAGGUGAGUAUUUGUUCCAAGUCUCAUGUUGAAAUUGUAGCUAAAGUGGCCAGAAUGUAAAGCUUUAUUUUGUCUUACAAAGGAAGUACAGUGGACCCCUGCCUAUUUGUGUUUUUUUUUACUUGCAGAUUUUUCAAUGGAACAUAACUCCAAAGUAUUUAUGGAGCAUUCAGCUUUUCUUGGAUUUAUUAUUUUGUUUUUGUAGAAAAAAAAUUUCAGAAGAAAAAUGCAACUGGCGAAGCUGAAAUACCUAUUUGAUACACUAUUUCUUGUUUGCAAAGCAGCCAAUCCAGGAACCACUUUCAUCUUCCUUGGCAAUGAUUGGCUGUACCCUCGGAGCGGAAAAUAAAAUGCAAAUUAAGAUAUAUUUGGUGUUUGUACUAUUAAAUUUUUAAAGAGGGUUUCCAGUGUUUCAGCCAUUUACAGCUGGUUUUGAUCCCUAACUUCUUGCAAGAUUUACCGGUUUUCACUGUACUUGUAUUGAAUCAAAAAAAUUCUAAAUAUAAUUACAUUGUGCACAACAUUGAUAAUUAGUCAAAUCCUUCACUUUUGCAUAUGAUUCUGGUUGAUAACUGUUAGCUAUUUGUUUCCUUUUACACAACCCACCCAUAUUUUAGUUAAGCUUACUUCUCCUAUAAAUUACCAUACAUUUCUUUAUUUUAACUGGUGCUUGUAUGGAUUUUAAGCAAAAUUAUCUUCUGACUGUAGCAUACUGGUAUUAUAAUGAAGCUAGUGUUGCCUAAGUAAAAUACAUAUUACUACUAUGAUAUAACACUUUACAAAAGUGAAGAUAUUAAAGAGAUUGAUGUUCAUUUGGUUAUACAAGCUUAGAUGAGACCUUUACUGUUGCAUUUCUAUGGUAAAAUUCACAGUGUUGUGAUUAAAAAGCUAGUUUGUGUCUUUUUUUCAGUAUAGAUUUCUUAAUGAUUUGAACAGAAAAUGGUUUAUUUUCUUGGAAAACCGAAAGAAACGUUUAGAGUUCGCACUUGUAUUUUACCCAGGUAUUCUUGUUGCAGGAACAGUGGUGUACGUUUAUGAAAGAAUCAAGGGCAGGUUUUAGGUCACCUACCAAAAGUAGCUAAAGUGGUUCAAAUACCUUCAUUCAACAUUCAAGAGAGGGAACAACCCAAAGCUGAUAGUUGGUAUAGGUUAGGUUCAAGGACUAGAUAGCCAAAGGAGACUCAGCAGCCAGACAAUUCAGGUUUGUUAGCAUAAAGUUCCUCUCAAUAAAAGAAGCA